GACGAACGCUGGCGGCGUGCUUAACACAUGCAAGUCGAGGGGCAGCAUAGGGUAGCAAUACUCUGAUGGCGACCGGCAAACGGGUGAGUAACGCGUAUGCAACCUACCCUGUACAGGGGGAUAACCCGGAGAAAUUCGGACUAAUAUCCCGUAAUAAUAUCCGGAGGCAUCUUUGGAUAUUUAAAGUUUCGACGGUACGGGAUGGGCAUGCGUAACAUUAGCUGGUUGGUAAGGUAACGGCUUACCAAGGCUAUGAUGUUUAGGGGUCCUGAGAGGGUGGUCCCCCACACUGGUACUGAGACACGGACCAGACUCCUACGGGAGCAGCAGUGAGGAAUAUUGGUCAAUGGGCGCAAGCCUGAACCAGCCAUCCCGCGUGCAGGAAGACGGCCCUAUGGGUUGUAAACUGCUUUUCCAGGGAGAGAACUUACGCACGUGUUGCGUGACUGACGGUACCCUGGGAAUAAGCAUCGGCUAACUCCGUGCCAGCAGCCGCGGUAAACGUAGCGU
rnacentral:rRNA from 1 species